rnacentral:rRNA from 1 species
UACGUAGGGUGCGAGCGUUAAUCGGAAUUACUGGGCGUAAAGCGUGCGCAGGCGGUCUGUUAAGACCGAUGUGAAAUCCCCGGGCUUAACCUGGGAACUGCAUUGGUGACUGGCAGGCUUUGAGUGUGGCAGAGGGGGGUAGAAUUCCACGUGUAGCAGUGAAAUGCGUAGAGAUGUGGAGGAAUACCGAUGGCGAAGACAGCCCCCUGGGCCAACACUGACGCUCAUGCACGAAAGCGUGGGGAGCAAACAGG